GCGCUUGUAGCUCAGCUGGACAGAGCAACGGACUUCUAAUCCGUAGGUCGCAGGUUCGAAUCCUGCCAAGCGCG
rnacentral:tRNA from 1 species